rnacentral:rRNA from 1 species
UACGGAGGGUGCAAGCGUUGUUCGGAAUUAUUGGGCGUAAAGGGUGCGUAGGCGGUGCGGUAAGUCUGUAGUGAAAUCUCUGGGCUCAACUCAGAGUCUGCUAUAGAAACUGCCGUGCUUGAGUGUGGGAGAGGUGAGUGGAAUUUCCGGUGUAGCGGUGAAAUGCGUAGAUAUCGGAAGGAACACCUGUGGCGAAAGCGGCUCACUGGACCAUUACUGACGCUGAGGCACGAAAGCUAGGGGAGCAAACAGG